UUUGUUAUUCACAAAAGUUCAUGAAAGAUUUUAUUCAAGGCAGCUAGACUUACUACGUGUUUCUCCUAGUGCUUAUGUAUCAGGGUAAUCAGCUCACUGACUGAUUACAUACUCUUACAAUAACCGUACUCAAGUCCUACACACAGCUCAUCUUUAAGUAGUCCUAACCCACGGUGCUCAGCAGCAAACUCUACCCCCUUCUGUCAUUUAUUUAUUUUAUAUAUAACUACCGAUAACGUCAAGUUAAACCUGACUACAAGUUUACUAUGACUAAAUACUAGAUAAUGCCGGGUAAUGUCUACUUCCUGAACACCAUUCACAGGUACAUAUACAAGCUCUUUUCAAGUGACACGACCCCAAACAGUUCUUCCUUGGCCACGCCCACCACGUGCAUUGUCAUAUCCUCUUCCACGGUAUGAUUGUUGAACCCCCCCUGACAUGCGAG
rnacentral:misc_RNA from 1 species